AGUGAACGCUGGCGGUAGGCCUAACACAUGCAAGUCGAACGGCAGCACAGUAAGGGCUUGCUCUUACGGGUGGCGAGUGGCGGACGGGUGAGGAAUACAUCGGAAUCUACUUUUUCGUGGGGGAUAACGUAGGGAAACUUACGCUAAUACCGCAUACGACCUACGGGUGAAAGCAGGGGAUCUUCGGACCUUGCGCGAUUGAAUGAGCCGAUGUCGGAUUAGCUAGUUGGCGGGGUAAAGGCCCACCAAGGCGACGAUCCGUAGCUGGUCUGAGAGGAUAAUAAGCCACACUGGAACUGAGACACGGUCCAGACUCCUACGGGAGGCAGCAGUGGGGAAUAUUGGACAAUGGGCGCAAGCCUGAUCCAGCCAUACCGCGUGGGUGAAGAAGGCCUUCGGGUUGUAAAGCCCUUUUGUUGGGAAAGAAAAGCAGCAGGUUAAUACCCCGCUGUUCUGACGGUACCCAAAGAAUAAGCACCGGCUAACUUCGUG
rnacentral:rRNA from 1 species